UUUCCUACGGGGGGGGUGCAGUAGGGAAUCUUCCGGCAUGSASGAGAAGUCUGAACGGAGCAACGCCGCGUGAACGAAGAAGGCCUUCGGGUCGUAAAGUUCUGUUGUUAGGGAAGAACAAGUACCAGAGUAACUGCUGGUACCUUGACGGUACCUAACCAGAAAGCCACGGCUAACUACGUGCCAGCAGCCGCGGUAAUACGUAGGUGGCAAGCGUUGUCCGGAAUUAUUGGGCGUAAAGCGCGCGCAGGUGGUUCCUUAAGUCUGAUGUGAAAGCCCACGGCUCAACCGUGGAGGGUCAUUGGAAACUGGGGAACUUGAGUGCAGAAGAGGAAAGUGGAAUUCCAAGUGUAGCGGUGAAAUGCGUAGAGAUUUGGAGGAACACCAGUGGCGAAGGCGACUUUCUGGUCUGUAACUGACACUGAGGCGAAAGCGUGGGGAGCACAGGAUUAGAUACCCCGGGGUAGUAGAA
rnacentral:rRNA from 1 species